rnacentral:rRNA from 1 species
GAUGAACGCUGGCGGCGUGCUUAACACAUGCAAGUCGAACGAUGAAAGCGGGAGCUUGCUCCUGCUGGAUUAGUGGCGAACGGGUGAGUAACACGUGAGUAACCUGCCCUUGACUCUGGGAUAAGCGUUGGAAACGACGUCUAAUACCGGAUACGAGCUUCGGUCGCAUGACCAGGAGCUGGAAGGAACUUCGGUCAAGGAUGGACUCGCGGCCUAUCAGCUAGUUGGUGAGGUAACGGCUCACCAAGGCGACGACGGGUAGCCGGCCUGAGAGGGUGACCGGCCACACUGGGACUGAGACACGGCCCAGACUCCUACGGGAGGCAGCAGUGGGGAAUAUUGCACAAUGGGCGCAAGCCUGAUGCAGCAACGCCGCGUGAGGGACGACGGCCUUCGGGUUGUAAACCUCUUUCAGUAGGGAAGAAGCGAAAGUGACGGUACCUACAGAAGAAGCACCGGCUAACUACGUGCCAGCCGCCGCGGUAAUAC